rnacentral:snRNA from 1 species
AAACUUACCUGGCUGGGGGGCUUUCGUGAUCAAGAAGACGGAACCCCUAUGGUGAGGCGGCUCCAUUGCACUUUCGGAGACGCUGACCUGUAUGGCAGGUCCGAGUUGGGCUUGGCCAACAGCUACAUUUUUGAGUGAGGGUCUGCGUUCGCGCGGACCCAA